rnacentral:rRNA from 1 species
GCAGCAGCCACGUUAAUACGGAGGGUGCAAGCGUUAUCCGGAUUUAUUGGGUUUAAAGGGUCCGUAGGCGGAUCUGUAAGUCAGUGGUGAAAUCUUACAGCUUAACUGUGAAACUGCCAUUGAUACUGCAGGUCUUGAGUAAAUUUGAAGUGGCUGGAAUAAGUAGUGUAGCGGUGAAAUGCAUAGAUAUUACUUAGAACACCAAUUGCGAAGGCAGGUCACUAAGAUUUAACUGACGCUGAUGGACGAAAGCGUGGGGAGCGAACAGGAUUAGAUACCCCUGUAGUCCCUGUCUCUUAUAU